GAUGAACGCUGGCGGCGUGCCUAAUACAUGCAAGUCGAGCGAACAGACGAGGAGCUUGCUCCUCUGACGUUAGCGGCGGGCGGGUGAGUAACACGUGGAUAACCUACCUAUAAGACUGGGAUAACUUCGGGAAACCGGAGCUAAUACCGGAUAAUAUAUUGAACCGCAUGGUUCAAUAGUGAAAUACGGUUUUUCUGUCACUUAUAGAUGGAUCCGCGCCGCAUUAGCUAGUUGGUAAGGUAACGGCUUACCAAGGCAACGAUGCGUAGCCGACCUGAGAGGGUGAUCGGCCACACUGGAACUGAGACACGGUCCAGACUCCUACGGGAGGCAGCAGUAGGGAAUCUUCCGCAAUGGGCGAAAGCCUGACGGAGCAACGCCGCGUGAGUGAUGAAGGUCUUCGGAUCGUAAAACUCUGUUAUUAGGGAAGAACAAAUGUGUAAGUAACUAUGCACGUCUUGACGGUACCUAAUCAGAAAGCCACGGCUAACUACGUG
rnacentral:rRNA from 1 species